AUUGAACGCUGGCGGCAUGCCUUACACAUGCAAGUCGAACGGCAGCACGGGUGCCUGCACCUGGCGGCGAGUGGCGAACGGGUGAGUAAUAUAUCGGAACGUACCUUAUUGUGGGGGAUAACGCAGCGAAAGCUGUGCUAAUACCGCAUAAUCCCUUAGGGGGAAAGCGGGGGACCGUAAGGCCUCGCGCAAUUAGAGCGGCCGAUACCUGAUUAGCUAGUUGGUGAGGUAAAGGCUCACCAAGGCGACGAUCAGUAGCUGGUCUGAGAGGACGAUCAGCCACACUGGGACUGAGACACGGCCCAGACUCCUACGGGAGGCAGCAGUGGGGAAUUUUGGACAAUGGGGGCAACCCUGAUCCAGCAAUGCCGCGUGAGUGAAGAAGGCCUUCGGGUUGUAAAGCUCUUUUGUCAGGGAAGAAACAGCAGCUCUAACACAGUAUGCGAAUGACGGUACCUGAAGAAUAAGCACCGGUUAACUACGUGCCAGCCGCCGCAGUAA
rnacentral:rRNA from 1 species